ACAGAACGAGGAGGAUGUUGAAACCGGCCUGGUCGGAGCUCCUGCUUGCAGCGACGUCAUGAAGCUCUAAAUUAAAGUAGAUGAUGAGAUCAAAAAAGUAGUAGAUGCGAUCUUCAAGACCUUUGGAUGUGGUUCUGCCAUCGCCUCCUCCUCCGUAGGUUCAUAUAAAGCUAAGAAAUGAAUCGCACUCUAUAUGCAUGUGUGUGUUAUUUUACAAUUUUAGUAAUUAAUUUUCAUGUUUCUGCAUAAUUCAUUUUAUUUUUUUUGGAGAGUUUUUCAAUUUUCUGUUGGUUAAUUCACGAAAGAAAAUCAUGGUCCAGUGAAUUUAAGAUAUGGUGCUUGAGAUUGGAAAGUCUGAUAUUUCUGGGAUUUGGAGGUGUUCCCUGCUAAUUAGAUUUUAAGAAAAAGAUAUUUAGAAAGAUAUUCAUUCAGUGACGCUAUUUUAAGAAUUGCAGAAAGAAUAUUUCAAGAAUCAAUGGUUUCUGCUGCUAUGGAUACACAGCAUGUUUUGAAGCGAUGGAAUAUGAAGCUGUAUAAUGAAAAGCUAAACCGGAACCGAGUUGCCUGAAGAAAAUUUCGGCCUACGUUGACGGGCAAAAUUUUUAGUUGUGUGAUUAUUUUAGAGAAUUUUCAACUUGUUCAAAUACUUUGUGUGUUGUAUCACUUGAUACAUUGUGGUUUAAUGAUUUUAGAUUGUAUUAAAU